UAGGGAAUAUUGCACAAUGGGCGAAAGCCUGAUGCAGCAACGCCGCGUGUGCGAUGAAGGCCUUCGGGUCGUAAAGCACUUUUCUGGGAGAUGAGAAAGGACAGUAUCUCAGGAAUAAGUCUCGGCUAACUACGUGCCAGCAGCCGCGGUAAAACGUAGGAGGCAAGCGUUAUCCGGAUUCACUGGGUGUAAAGCGCGUGCAGGCGGUUCGGUAAGUUGGGCGUGAAAUCUCCUGGCUCAACUAGGAGAGGUCGUUCAAUACUACCGGACUUGAGAGUGGUAGAGGAAGAUGGAAUUCCCGGUGUAGUGGUGAAAUGCGUAGAUAUCGGGAGGAACACCAGUGGCGAAGGCGAUCUUCUGGACCAUUUCUGACGCUCAGACGCGACAGCUAGGGUAGCAAAC
rnacentral:rRNA from 1 species